rnacentral:rRNA from 1 species
UACGGAGGGUGCAAGCGUUAAUCGGAAUUACUGGGCGUAAAGCGCAUGUAGGCUGUUAAUUAAGUCAGAUGUGAAAUCCCUGGGCUUAACCUGGGAAUGGCAUUCGAGACUGGUGAGCUAGAGUCUUGUAGAGGAAGGUGGAAUUCCAGGUGUAGCGGUGAAAUGCGUAGAGAUGGGGAGGAACACCGGUGGCGAAGGCGGCCCCCUGGACAAAGACUGACGCUCAGGCGCGAAAGCGUGGGGAGCAAACAGG